CGAGCCUUGGAUAGCAUUUUAUUAGGCCGAACUUUCUUGAAUUCUUCACAUGCAAUCCAAAAUUCUAUAUUCUCUUGACUAUAUUCCCGUGCCAAGAAGGCCUUAAAUAGGCUCGCACCAUCUUAUUGGAUAACAAAAGGCUACUUACAUUUACUUCUCAUGAGAAACUGGAAAGAUUCAGACCAUUUAUGAGCCUCUUCGGGUGUUGGCCUUACGUUGGUUGAUUGUAUCGAUGAAUCGGUGUGACGACGCCUCAAGAAUCUUAACCUUUGUUUCAUAUCUUCCAAGGCUCUAAACAAAAGAAUCACAAACAAUUUUUAUCAAUUAAUCAACAUCGCUCAUCAUUUUGGAUCAACCAAUCAAUCCACUGGUUACUUGAGAUACUUACGGAGCCUGUUUUCGUCCUCGACGUUUCUCUCCAGUUUCACCUUCGACUGUACCCGAUGAGCCAGCAUGAUGUUUCUAAUUUAAUCAUAAAUCAAUUGGUAAAAGAGAGAAGAAAAUUAAGAAAAAAACAAACAUAUGAUUAGAUGGUUAAAUAAUCUAGGAUCAUUACGAGAUACAAAUUGAAAACUGAGACAAGAAAUUAAACCCAAUCAUCAACUUGGUUAAAUUAAUCAUUUGCAUUCAAUGAAUAUCGUGCUGAUCGUUAACUGACCCUCUAAUCAUUUGCAUAUGAUUAAAUUGUAAAAGAAAUCAACUGAACCUGUUUAAACAAUGUUUUUUCUAGAAGGAGAAACUCAACUAACAAUUACUGGAUUAACUACUGAUCACAAAAGUUAUGGUUAAUAUCAAAUGUAAAUGUUGAUUAUUUUUCAUACAUUAAUUACGUAACAUUAUUGGUCAAUCAAUUAUUGAUUGGGAAAAAAUGAGCUAAUCAAUGUUUUGUUGACGGAGUUAGGUAACAAUCAAGGGACACAACCUUUGUAUUAAUAAUAAUAAUACAAAGGUUGUAUUGAAUAAUUGUGUUGACCAGAGAUUUAAGUACAUGUGUAAUACAAACGAAAGGAAAAGUGCAUGUGAUGGAACAUCUUUGGAACAACCAGCAGAAUGAGUUCGUCGUAAAAGACGAGCCAAUCGCCCGGGGCCAGAAAGAACAACAUUGGCCACUGAUGCUUUUCGUUUCUCCGUCGAGGUUGAAGACGU